UACAGAGGUGGCAAGCGUUGUUCGGAAUUACUGGGCGUAAAGGGCGCGUAGGCGGCUUCCUCAGUCAGACGUGAAAUCCCUAGGCUUAACCUAGGAACUGCGUCUGAUACUGGGAGGCUUGAGUUCGGGAGAGGGAUGUAGAAUUCCAGGUGUAGCGGUGAAAUGCGUAGAUAUCUGGAGGAAUACCGGUGGCGAAGGCGGCAUCCUGGACCGAAACUGACGCUGAGGCGCGAAAGCUAGGGUAGCAAACGGG
rnacentral:rRNA from 1 species